ensembl:processed_transcript Eldr Egfr long non-coding downstream RNA
GGCCGAGAGUUUGAGCGCCAAGGCUCUCUCUCCCCAGGGGACUCUGCAACCUGACUAGGUGCUCCUUCCCUGAGGUGUGUGCUCGACAAAGGUUGCUGAAAAAGUUCACGUUGAAAUUUUUUUUGAUGAUAAUAUCGUGUUACUCAUUUCCUUUGUUUCUUAGCAUAGUAACAUUCCAGGGAGCUGCCCGGGGAAGCUUAACGCUCGAUGCGGUCCACCACAAUUAUUUUGUUUGCAGGAGGGAUAAUGGGUGAAAGCUGGGUUUCUGGGAAGUGCAGGCCUGAGAAUACUGUGCUUGGACAAGCAUCUCCCUACCGCGAAGAGCAGCGCAGAUGAAGCAGAUCCAUCCUAUGACAAGAAUGGGAGUUGCCUUACUUUGUUUGCCAACACACAAACCACCCACUGUGCACUGCUUCAGUAAUAUGCACUUUGAGCCAGGUGUCAGUUCAUAUUCGAGAACUGGCCUCUCAGACAUGUUGUCAGGAAAGUAACCCAUUGCCUUCUCCAGGAAUUGAUGAUGGCAGCAUUGGCAAUUGACCUUGGAAUGGUGUUUAAAAGGAAUAAUGCUUGUGUUACACAUAUUUUUAUUAGUUCUUAAAAACAGGAUGCAAAGUCAAGGGUUAAUUUCCAUACACUUACACCACCCACUUUGUUUUUAUUCAUUCCCUGUCCC